UUACCAGCACGGUAAUGGUGGGCACUCUAAGGAGACUGCCGGUGACAAACCGGAGGAAGGUGGGGAUGACGUCAAGUCAUCAUGGCCUUACGGCCAGGGCUACACACGUGCUACAAUGGUCGGUACAAAGGGUUGCCAAGCCGCGAGGUGGAGCUAAUCCCAUAAAACCGAUCGUAGUCCGGAUCGCAGUCUGCAACUCGACUGCGUGAAGUCGGAAUCGCUAGUAAUCGUGAAUCAGAAUGUCACGGUGAAUACGUUCCCGGGCCUU
rnacentral:rRNA from 1 species